rnacentral:rRNA from 1 species
UACGUAGGGGGCAAGCGUUGUCCGGAAUCAUUGGGCGUAAAGAGCGUGUAGGCGGCCUGAUAAGUCGGUUGUGAAAGUCAAGGGCUCAACCCUUGAAUGCCGACCGAUACUGUCAGGCUAGAGUCCGGAAGAGGAGAGUGGAAUUCCUGGUGUAGCGGUGAAAUGCGCAGAUAUCAGGAAGAACACCCGUGGCGAAGGCGGCUCUCUGGGACGGUACUGACGCUGAGACGCGAAAGCGUGGGGAGCGAACAGG